rnacentral:rRNA from 1 species
UACGGGGGGAGCAAGCGUUGUUCGGAUUUACUGGGCGUAAAGGGCGCGUAGGCGGCCACCGCAAGUCGACUGUGAAAUCUCCGGGCUUAACCCGGAAAGGUCAGCCGAUACUGCGGGGCUAGAGUGCAGAAGGGGCAACUGGAAUUCUCGGUGUAGCGGUGAAAUGCGUAGAUAUCGAGAGGAACAUCAGUGGCGAAGGCGGCUGCCUGGCCCAAUACUGACACUCAGGUGCGACAGCGUGGGGAGCAAACAGG